CCGGAGCCGCGAGGUGUCGCGCGGGGCUCCGGCGCGGCUGUCGGAGCUCGGCCUGAGGCGCGGGGCCGAGCGGGAGGGCGAGGCUCGUCCCUCGGGCACGGCGACUGCGGGAAGCGCGUGGCUCCUCAGCUGAGCCUGCGGCCGUGUCUCUGCAGUGACACACCUGAGUUACAGUAAGUGACUCUUUGCACCUCGGCUCACAUGCAUACAGCUGCGUCUCAGGUUUCUCUUUGAGCUCAGCCUCAGCUCACCUUAAUUCCAAAGCCUUGGAAGAGAUUGACGUUGCAUUGUGAGUGGUGUUGUGCCGCACGUGUAACCGCGCUGCAGCCCUUUUGCUGGUGCAGUACAGUGUGCUGGUUCGGGCAGAUAGCCGUGGCAGAGUUGGGGAUGUGGAAGAGCAGAUUGGCUUUGGUAAUGUCUCUUAAGGCUGCCGGAUUCUGGGUUUGGAAUAUCACUUAAGCUGGGAAGUUUGGGUCUUUCUCCAGUACAGAAGUACUGCAGCAUUUCAGCUCUGUGUUUUCAUGAACUUUAUGAUUCAGGGAGUUAUGGAUACUUUUAAUCUACCACGGGCUAAAAUUAACCUCCAUUCUGCAGUUAUAAGUGCUGGUGACAUUCCGACUCCUCUGAAAUCAAAGGCAAAGCUCCCCCUGCAGCAAAGCUGAGAGCAUCUCAGAAGGUGACAGACAUCAGUUGGCGGUCAGGCCUGUGGUCCCCAUGCCUGUGGCAGCUCAGAUGGGCUGUCACCAUGGUGGGUUCUUCUGUUGUUCUGUCAUUCCAUUUUUGCAAAAAUUCAUAAUCUGCAGCCCUCAUUUUCUACUUAUGUGUUUUGAAGUACAGAGAUAAGAAUUGUUAGUCACAUUCUGUCCUUACCCCAAAGAUCAAUUUUUUUUUUCAAGUUGAUGUUUUGGACUCUGUACAAGUUUGUUCUUUCACUGUAUCCAGUGCUGAAAAACGAUCCACCCCAAGGAGAGCAGCUAUUAAUCAGCCCUACACAUGCAGAAGUGUAUCUCCCAGCUGUUCUGAGGCAGAGCAGCAAGCUCAUGAAAACACUCCACUGUUAUUGUAGAGGCUCUUUGAUACAGAAGGAGAGAACAGAAUGUUUGUUUUAACCUUUACAGAACUGCUAAAGUAAAAAUAAUUUGUAUUCAAAACCAUGUUUUGUAUACAAUAAGACAAAACAAGUAUAAAUGAGAAAUAGUUGUAUGGCUUAACAGCUGUGCAUAGGUUGUCAAGCAUUGGUGCUGGCCUUGCUGACCCACUCAAAACACGGAAACUUUCCUCGGGUCAUUGGUUUAAUUUGUGGAAAUGCUAAUUUUGGUAAUAUUUACCUAAAGCUACAGCAUAAUCUGCCACUGUGAGCGUGCAUCUAGGUUGUAUCUGACCCCAGGAAAAGGCAUUUGAGGACUGGCACGCGUAGUGAUUAAUUUGGGCAGAGUGGUAACAGAUGGUGAGACUUGGACAGGCAAUUCUGAGAGACUGCCAGUAAUUGCCUAUGAAUGCUCGUAAGUGCAUGAGCUCACCUAAGUGGAAAAGUCGGGAGAAAGCCAUGACCAGCUGGUGAAUUCUGCUCAGAAUUGUCUUGCAGUGAAGCUGCCCUUGAGCAGCUUCAACCUGCUUUAACAGGGGGGUUAGACUAGAUCAUCUCCAGAGGUCCCUUCUGGCCUCUACGAUUGUGCAAGGAUGUGUUCCCUGCUGCUGGCACCAAAAGUUCAAUUAUCUUUCUGGUAUUUUGCCCAAGGAUAGCUUUGUCCAAAAAGAUGCUGUGGGCCAGAAACAAGCAAAGAAGAGUAUUCCAAGAUGCUCUUGUCAAUGUUGUGUGGCCGGAGUGGAGAAGAGGAAGGAUAUGGCAUGAUCUCCACCAAGAGACUUGAAGUGAAUUUCCCACUCUGAUUGCAAACAGCAGCAAGCUCCCUUCCCCUAUAACCACAGGAAUUUCUUAUGGCAGCAUUUGGAAAUACACCAUUUUUGAUUCCUGUUUGGAAGCCUCUGUUGCUGUAACUCAUAAUUGGCAUGGUUGAAAUGAAGCUGAGAAGAGAGUGGCAGGUUGUACUUCCUGCACUGCGAAGCAUGGAGAGGAUCAUCCUGUACACAGCAGGGUACUGCUGACAGAGAGAUCACAGAAGAUAGACUGG